rfam:Pteropus alecto contig56949, whole genome shotgun sequence.
GUCUCCAGCCAGGCCACCCUGAACAAGCCCGAUCCCGCCUGAUCUCGGAAGCUAAGCAGGGUUGGGCCUGGGUGGUAUUUGGAUGGGAGACCACCUAGGAAGACCAGGUGCUGUAGGCA